CUGGGACGUCCUAUUGUAUCCCUAGGGGGUUAGUUCUGGACUGGGGCACAAAAUGGAAGGAGGUCUCAACGUAAAGCAUAAUAAGGAGACUUGUAGUAAUUAAGCGCAUUUUAUUUCAGUACCUGUACGAACUGACGAGAGCGAGAACACGAACAUCCCACUAAGUGUACAAUUGGUUCGACCCAAGAAGAAAGGCCCUGUGAGAAUAUAGGAACAAGGUGGCAAACCAGGAAGACAGUUCUCACCAGCAACCAACCCUGCUGGCACCUUGAUCUUGGACUUUCAACCUCUGGAAUUGUAAGAAAUAAGAAAGAAAUUUCUGUUUUAUGCCAUCAAGUCUGUGGUAUCUUGUUACGGCAGCCCAAGUAGAUUAAUAUGGGAGUCAUUGUAGAAAUGCUAAGCCCUGAGGCUGAGUGAGAUCUCCAACAGAGUGAGAACUGACAAAGAAGAGGGCAGGGCAAGGACAGAGACCCCGGAUCCAACAUUUACAGACAAGGAACCAACAAAGGAGCCUGAGAAGGAACAGCCAGUGAGCAAAAGCUCGUCCCCCCAGGAGGCGUGUUGCAGCUGCGGCCGUGGCAGUUCCCAGGUGAUGUCAGUCCUGGCCCAGUGCCAGCCCCGGCCCCUUGGAGACGGUCUUGUAAUGUCCUCUAUACCAUUACGCCCCUGCCGGACAGGAUCCAGCCCAGAGGUGUGCUACAUUUUGCUGUCCAGGUCAAGACUUUUGAUAUCACGUCUACAAGAGGAGCUUCAUAAAAUGGAAGAGGCCUGGGCCACUGAGGGGAACUUCAUGUGGUAGAGGAGCCCGAGGCUGGAGGCAGGGGCCCUGCAUUCUCAGCCCUGCUCAGCUCCAAAUGCUGUGCAAUUCUGGCCCAUUGCUGUCCCUAUCUGGGCUUUGGUUUCCCCAUUGCCAUGGACGACCUCUAACGCCUUCCCACUUGCAAUUGUGGAAUUAGGGAAGAGAGCCCUGAGUGGCGAUCAGGGAGACCUGGGCUCCCAGUGGCCCAGGAGAGCCUUGCUGGGGAACCUUGGGCAGUUUGCUUCAUCUGUAUUGGCUCAGCUUCUCACUGUGAAAUGACUGAGCCUGAGAUCCUUCUUGUGCUGAUGCUCCUUGUGUCUAAGGGUUUGGGUGGAAGGUGUGACCUGGUAUUUAAGCCUCCCCCCUUCAGGGUCCCAGGUGGCUUGGCUGAAGCUGCUCAUUCUACCCUCCUCAGCCCUGGGUUUCUUCUGCCUGAGCAAUUUUACUCCUCUGGCCCUAAGUCGGCUCCUGCUCAGGCAGCCUGCAGAAGCCUGGCUGGGCUGGCCCAUCCUGAAGGUGGAAGUUGUGUGUGUUGGGGGCAGGGAUGUUAGGCAAAUGGCCCCAGAGGUCCUGGUCCACAGCUGUGCCAGGUCAUGUGUAUUGGGCUGGCCUUGUAGCUCACAAGGGGUCUGAGACAUUAACUAUCCCCUACUCAGGAACCAGGCUCAGGGAAGACAGCAAGCAGCAAAAUGUGCAGAAUGGAGCACCAUGCAGCUGUGAAAAAGCACGAAGCAGCUCUUUGAACACUGAAGGGUCUCCAAGAUGCAUUGUUAAGGAAAAAAAAAAUCCAAGUAUAUAACAGUGGGUAAAAUGCUACCUCUUAUGCAGAAAAACAAGACCUAUGUGAAUUGCUAUGCUGUAAAAGAUUAAGUGCAUGUGUAUGUUUUCUAAAAAUCUCUGCAGGAUAACAGUGUUAACUGUGGUUGUCUUUGGGAUGGGUGAUAUUUCUAGGGUCUUGUAGUGUUUCAAUUUUUUUUUUUUACUAUGAAAACAUAAGCAGAGAAACCUAGAAAUACUUUUUUAGAACCAGUAAUCAGUAUAGAGCAUUUCUGGAAGGACACACGGGUAACUGCUAACAGCAGUCGGCUUUGAGGCGGAGCCUGAGGGAGGUACGACUUUUCCCUGCAUACUAUUGGAUACAACUUAUAUUAUCUACCAAGAGCAAAUGAUCUAUGAACGACUACAUACCAAUGCAAAACAAAUUAAUUAUUAUUCUGCUCCAGCUGUUCCUGCUGGUUAGGGAUUGGGUCAGGGAAGCCCAGAGGGGUCACACAACUUCUUGGGGGUCACCCAGGAAAUCUGGUGGCAGAAGUGGGCCUCCAGCCCAGAGCACCCAAGUGUCUGCUCUGUCCCCAUUCCCAGGUUUCCUGCCAUUGACAAUGUCACAGUCCUUUUCCUGUGGCUUUGCCAGGGGCUGCCUAGACCUGGCCCUGGGUAGAUGCAGGGAGUGCAAUGUGCUUUCCUAAUUAGUUCCUGAAAGGCAACUGUCUGUUGAUCUGCAAAAUGGGCAGCCCCACAUAGCUGAGUCUGGGUAUCAAACGCAGGGGGUGACAGAGCAGAGUGGAUAGAAGCGCGGACUCUGGAGCCAGGCUUCAGUUGGCAAACGCUAAAUAAAAGUGUUAAAAAAAUAAAUUAAAAAACAGGCACAUGAAUGUCCCUGGAGGAAAGGGUGGCUGCCUGGCUCUGCUGCCUCUCCUGGCUCCUCUCCCUGCCUCCAGCCUCCUGAGCGUCUCUGAUCCUGGCCCCACAGAGAGAGCCAAGAACUCCUGGCUGCACUGACCAGCUGUCCCUGUUACACUCUAGGCUGGAUCUGUGAGAUGGGGAGACACCUCCCCCCAACUCCCAGGGCCACUGGGAGAAUGAUUGGGGUCACAAAACUGGCACCCCAUCUGGGGCAUCUCCAGGGCAGAGGAAGGAGCUCACUUUGGGCUUUAAAUUUGGACAGACUUCACGUUGUCACCCUGCCACGUGCCAGCCAGGAGGCUUUGGGUAUCGUUGUUUCUUCAAAUCAUCUCAGCUACAACAGGGGUAAGAGCAUCCCAUUAGCACACACUCAUUUGCACAUGUGGAAAACCAUGUGCCUGCCCAGCCCUGUUUGUAAAGACAUGGAUAAUGGGUGGGUUAAAGUACGGUACAUUCCCAAAUGGAAUAAACAGCUACUAAAGGAAUGAAGGUACCCUUUCCCGUUAUGACUUGGAUGACAGCCAAGCUAGAUUAAGGAAAAAAAAAAUACAAGAAGCAGAAAACGGGUAUGAUGUGCUACUGU